CCUACGGGUGGCAGCAGUGGGGAAUAUUGCACAAUGGGGGAAACCCUGAUGCAGCGACGCCGCGUGAGUGAAGAAGGAUUUCGGUAUGUUAAGCUCUUUCAGUAGGGACGCAAAUGACGGUACCUGAUUAAGAAGCCGCGGCUAACUACAUGCCAGCAGCCGCGGUUAUACGUAGGGGGCAAGCGUUAUCCGGAUUUAAUGGGGGUUAAGGGAGCGUAGACGGCAGCGCAAGUCUGAAGGGAAAGGCCGGGGCUUAACCCCGGAACUGCAUUGGAAACUGGGCAGCUAGAGUGCAGGAGAGGUAAGUGGAAUGCCUAGUGUAGCGGUGAAAUGCGUAGAUAUUAGGAGGAACACCAGUGGCGAAGGCGGCUGACUGGACUGUAACUGACGUUGAGGCUCGAAAGCGUGGGGAGCAAACAGGAUUAGAUACCCUUGUAGUC
rnacentral:rRNA from 1 species